rnacentral:tRNA from 1 species
AAGACAUUAGUAAAAUAUAUUACUUAGCCUUGUCAUGGCUUCAUUACUAGUUUAAUCUUGUAUGUCUUAU